AUGACCCUCUGGUCUUCCUCUGAGCUGGGCUGUGUCUGGGAGCGAGGCCUGCACUCUGCACCUGUGAGAGCCACGAGGAGCCCACGUGAGCCUGGCAGAAGGUCAGAUGGCAAGAGCUGGUUCCUGAUGGAGCUGCCGAGGGCACGGAGGUCACUCUGCCAGUGGAAAACUCUCCCUCUCCAGGUAGAGACCCAAACACAGCCUUCCCCAGAGCACCUACUUUCAGGAUCACCGGGUCCCAUUCUGUGCUCCUGUGUGGGCUCCCUGUUKGGAGGACGCUGGCUUGAGCUGGUCACAACUGCAGGCAUUUGGGGAGGACAGCAGAAUGAGAAGCCAUGGUGACACUCAAGAUGUACUGAG
rnacentral:lncRNA from 1 species